UAGUAGCGGCGAGUGAAGCGGCAAAAGCUCAAAUUUGAAAUCUGGCUCUUUCAGAGUCCGAGUUGUAAUUUGAAGAAGGUAUCUUUGGGUCUGGCUCUUGUCUAUGUUUCUUGGAACAGAACGUCACAGAGGGUGAGAAUCCCGUGCGAUGAGAUGAUCCAGGCCUAUGUAAAGUUCCUUCGAAGAGUCGAGUUGUUUGGGAAUGCAGCUCUAAGUGGGUGGUAAAUUCCAUCUAAAGCUAAAUAUUGGCGAGAGACCGAUAGCGAACAAGUACAGUGAUGGAAAGAUGAAAAGAACUUUGAAAAGAGAGUGAAAAAGUACGUGAAAUUGUUGAAAGGGAAGGGCUUGAGAUCAGACUUGGUAUUUUGUAUGUUACUUCUUCGGGGGUGGCCUCUACAGUUUAUCGGGCCAGCAUCAGUUUGGGCGGUAGGAGAAUUGCGUUGGAAUGUGGCACGGCUUCGGUUGUGUGUUAUAGCCUUCGUCGAUACUGCCAGCCUAGACUGAGGACUGCGGUUUAUACCUAGGAUGUUGGCAUAAUGAUCUUAAGUCGCCCGUCUUGAAACACGGACCAAGGAGUCUAACGUCUAUGCGAGUGUUUGGGUGUAAAACCCGUACGCGUAAUGAAAGUGAACGUAGGUGGGGGCCCGUAUGGGUGCACCAUCGACCGAUCCUGAUGUCUUCGGAUGGAUUUGAGUAAGAGCAUAGCUGUUGGGACCCGAAAGAUGGUGAACUAUGCCUGAAUAGGGUGAAGCCAGAGGAAACUCUGGUGGAGGCUCGUAGCGG
rnacentral:rRNA from 1 species